rnacentral:rRNA from 1 species
GACGAACGCNGGCGGCGUGCUUAACACAUGCAAGUCGAACGGAGCGAAUGAAAGCUUGCUUUUAUAAGCUUAGUGGCAAACGGGUGAGUAACACGUAGACAACCCGCCGACAGGAUGGGGACAACAUUCCGAAAGGAAUGCUAAUACCGAAUGAAGUGCAGGGGAGGCAUCUCCCCUGCAUGAAAGAUGGCCUCUUUUUAUGCUAUCACCUGUUGAUGGGUCUGCGUCUGAUUAGCUGGUAGGUGAGGUAACGGCUCACCUAGGCGACGAUCAGUAGCCGGUCUGAGAGGAUGAACGGCCACAUUGGGACUGAGACACGGCCCAGACUCCUACGGGAGGCAGCAGUGGGGAAUCUUCCGCAAUGGGCGCAAGCCUGACGGAGCAACGCCGCGUGAGUGAAGAAGGUCUUCGGAUCGUAAAGCUCUGUUGAUGGGGACGAACGUGCCUAAUGCGAAUAGUAUUAGGUAANGAC